rnacentral:misc_RNA from 1 species
UUUUUCACUGUGGAGUACGUCGAUGGUUGGCCUAGGAAUUUCAAGUUUUCUUUCGAGAAAUGCACUUACUACUUCGAGAUUGCGGUGGCAUUGGCUGUGGCUGCCAUCCCUGAGGGUUUGCCUGCAGUGAUUACCACCUGUUUGGCGCUGGGCACUCGGAAAAUGGCCCAAAAGAAUGCACUUGUUAGGAAGUUGCCCAGUGUGGAGACUCUGGGGUGUACCACUGUUAUUUGCUCGGAUAAAACUGGUACAUUGACUACAAAUCAGAUGGCUGUAGCGAAGCUUGUUGCUAUGGGACAGACGGCGGAGGAAUUGAGGACUUUUAAGGUUGAUGGAACAACUUACAGCCCUUAUGAUGGGGAAAUAUAUGACUGGCCUAGCGGUGGAAUGGAUGCUAAUCUCCAAAUGAUUGCCAAGAUUGCAGCUGUAUGCAAUGAUGCUGGUGUUGAACAAUCUGAGCAUAAAUAUGUGGCCACUGGUAUGCCAACUGAGGCAUCUUUAAAGGUUCUUGUUGAGAAAAUGGGCCUUCCACAGGAACCAUUACUUGAUGGUGGAUCAUGUGGCAGUGAUCUUUUACGUUGCUGCCAACAAUGGAAUGAAUGUGAACGUCGGAUUGCGACCCUUGAAUUCGACCGUGACAGGAAAUCUAUGGGAGUCAUUGUCAACUCUCCUUCAG